rnacentral:rRNA from 1 species
ACCAGACUCCUACGGGAGGCAGCAGUGAGGAAUAUUGGUCAAUGGGCGGAAGCCUGAACCAGCCAAGUCGCGUGAGGGAAGACGGUCCUAUGGAUUGUAAACCUCUUUUGUCGGGGAGCAAAAGACGCCACGUGUGGCGUUCCGAGAGUACCCGAAGAAAAAGCAUCGGCUAACUCCGUGCCAGCAGCCGCGGUAAUACGGAGGAUGCGAGCGUUAUCCGGAUUUAUUGGGUUUAAAGGGUGCGUAGGCGGAAUGCCAAGUCAGCGGUAAAAUCGCGGGGCUCAACCUCGCUCCGCCGUUGAAACUGGCGUUCUUGAGUGGGCGAGAAGUAUGCGGAAUGCGUGGUGUAGCGGUGAAAUGCAUAGAUAUCACGCAGAACUCCGAUUGCGAAGGCAGCAUACCGGCGCCCAACUGACGCUGAAGCACGAAAGCGUGGGUAUCGAACAGGAUUAGAUACCCGUGUAG